rnacentral:rRNA from 1 species
GACGAACGCUGGCGGCGUGCUUAACACAUGCAAGUCGAACGAGGGAAUUGAAAGCUUGCUUUUGAAACCCGAGUGGCAAACGGGUGAGUAACGCGUAGGCAACCUGCCGUUGAGAUGGGGACAACAUCCCGAAAGGGGUGCUAAUACCGAAUGUUGUGGGAGCUCCGCAUGGAGCACCCACUAAAGAUGACCUCUCCUUGGAAGUUAUCGCUCAACGAUGGGCCUGCGUCUGAUUAGUUAGUUGGUGAGGUAACGGCUCACCAAGACUGCGAUCAGUAGCCGGACUGAGAGGUUGAACGGCCACAUUGGGACUGAGAUACGGCCCAGACUCCUACGGGAGGCAGCAGUGGGGAAUAUUGGGCAAUGGACGCAAGUCUGACCCAGCAACGCCGCGUAAAGGAAGAAGGCUUUCGGGUUGUAAACUUCUUUUACCAGGGACGAAGAAAGUGACGGUACCUGGAGAAAAAGCCACGGCUAACUACGUG